rnacentral:rRNA from 1 species
UACGUAGGUGGCAAGCGUUGUCCGGAUUUACUGGGCGUAAAGAGCGCGCAGGCGGUCGGAUCAGUCGAAUGUGAAAGCCCCCGGCUCAACUGGGGAGGGUCAUUCGAUACUGUCCGACUCGAAGGCAGGAGAGGGAAGCGGAAUUCCCGGUGUAGUGGUGAAAUGCGUAGAUAUCGGGAGGAACACCAGUGGCGAAGGCGACUCUCUGGGACGGUACUGACGCUGAGACGCGAAAGCGUGGGGAGCGAACAGG